CCGGAGCCGGAGCCGGAGCCGGGGUACGCUCCGUCUGCGCCGACCCGGCUGACUCCAGCGGAACGAUCGGAGAGCGGCGGUUCUCAUCCGAGGACCGGGGUUCGGGUGCAGGCGCCGCCCGGUGGCAAGUCGUCUGCCCUCUGGUGACCGGUGCGCGUGCCCAAACACCCCCGCUGGCGGGCCGAGCCGACAGCGCCGGCCGAAGGCGCCCAUUCAGAGGUGUGGGUAGGUGUCGGGUGUCGCGUUAGGAUAUAACAUCUGUACUACAUCUUACUAACAUUAGCAUUUGGCGGAUGGUUCGCAUCAUGCAUUGUUGAACGCAAUGAACUGUAUUCGGGUGUAUACACGCAUUUGUUAACUGCUGCCACGCAUAUGCGUCUCUACAUUCCACACUGCCAACGGCUUGCCAGCAAUCGAGCUUUGGAUUAUGUUGUGAGCAAAUCUGUUUUAUAGUUACUAACACUUGAAUAAGGGAACGGCCGAAGGUGGCGAAUAACGCUCCAAAAGACGGGUGUUGUAGUUUUGGGAAUGCCAGCUGCUUUCUCGUGUUUUGGGCAUCAGUUUAAGCGUGCAAAAAUCGAAUAUAUCUUUUAACCCAAUGGA
rnacentral:lncRNA from 1 species